rnacentral:rRNA from 1 species
AUUGAACGCUAGCGGGAUGCCUUACACAUGCAAGUCGAACGGAGUGGCGAACGGGUGAGUAAUGUAUCGGCACGUGCCCAGUAGCGGGGGAUAACUACGCGAAAGCGUAGCUAAUACCGCAUACUAUUGGCGCGGCCGAUAGCGGUUUAGCUAGUUGGUGGGGUGACGGCUCACCAAGGCGACGAUCCGUAGCUGGUUUGAGAGGACGACCAGCCACACUGGGACUUAGACACGGCCCAGACUCCGACGGGAGGCAGCGUUGGGGAAUGUUGGAAAAGGGGGGAACCCCUGAUCCAGCCAUCCCGCGUGGGCGAUGAAGGCCUUCGGGUUGUAAAGCACUUUUGGCAGGACAGCGGUACCUGCAGAAUAAGCACCGGCUAACUACGUGCCAGCAGCCGCGGUAAUUC